CAAGUCUGAUGGAGCAACGCCGCGUGAGUGAAGAAGGCUUUCGGGUCGUAAAACUCUGUUGUUGGAGAAGAAUGGUCGGCAGAGUAACUGUUGUCGGCGUGACGGUAUCCAACCAGAAAGCCACGGCUAACUACGUGCCAGCAGCCGCGGUAAUACGUAGGUGGCAAGCGUUAUCCGGAUUUAUUGGGCGUAAAGCGAGCGCAGGCGGUUUUUUAAGUCUGAUGUGAAAGCCCUCGGCUUAACCGAGGAAGUGCAUCGGAAACUGGGAAACUUGAGUGCAGAAGAGGACAGUGGAACUCCAUGUGUAGCGGUGAAAUGCGUAGAUAUAUGGAAGAACACCAGUGGCGAAGGCGGCUGUCUGGUCUGUAACUGACGCUGAGGCUCGAAAGCAUGGGUAGCGAACAGGACUAGAUACCCUGGUAGUCCAUGCCGUAAACGAUGAAUGCUAGGUGUUGGAGGGUUUCCGCCCUUCAGUGCCGCAGCUAACGCAUUAAGCAUUCCGCCUGGGGAUUACGACCGCAAGGUUGAAACUCAAAGGAAUUGACGGGGGCCCGCACAAGCGGUGGAGCAUGUGGUUUAAUUCGAAGCAACGCGAAGAACCUUACCAGGUCUUGACAUCUU
rnacentral:rRNA from 2 species